rnacentral:ncRNA from 1 species
GCGUGCGCGUCAUAAGAUGGCCCCCUCUCAAUCAACACACGCCGUGGUGGGGGAAGCCGGUCCAAGCCCGGCGCUGACCCGCAACCGUAGGCCCGGGACAUCGAGGGGGUGUCCCGAGCGAGCCGGAGCACCUGCCGACGGACGCGUACUGAC